rnacentral:rRNA from 1 species
UACGUAGGGCGCAAGCGUUGUCCGGAAUUAUUGGGCGUAAAGAGCUCGUAGGCGGCCUGUUGCGUCCGCUGUGAAAUCCCGGGGCUCAACCCCGGGCCUGCAGUGGAUACGGGCUGGCUAGAGGCAGGCAGGGGAGAACGGAAUCCUGGUGUAGCGGUGAAAUGCGCAGAUAUCAGGAGGAACACCGGUGGCGAAGGCGGUUCUCUGGGCCUGUACUGACGCUGAGGAGCGAAAGCGUGGGGAGCGAACAGG